rnacentral:lncRNA from 1 species
AGCUGAGAAAGGAAAAUUUCAGCAGCCAUGUCCCAUGCAUCCUUAGAAUGUGCAGAAGAAAAUUUUAAAAUAAACAACCGAGAAACAAGUUGUAAAGUAAGUGAAUAUCCCUUACAGUACCACAUAUGGUGCUGAUGGGUAACCAAAGAAUCAGACGGCUUACAUUUAUAAUCAUUGGAAUUAAGAUAGUAGAAAUAACUGCACAAAGUACUACAAUCUAAGCAAUAAUUAGGCAGAUAUAGUUUUUAGUUACUUGUAAACCAAAUAAGGAAAAAAUGAACAUUAAAGCCAAUACAAAUCACAUUUUUAACUGAAAGACUCACUGAAGACUUAUAUGUAAGAAGAGCAAGAAAAAAAUGGAAAAAGAACAAAACCAAACCAAAACCAACAUCCAAGCUUUCCAUUUUAUACUGGUGAAAGAUUUUUCAAAAGAAAUAGAAAAACCUAAACUUGAACUCACCUAACAAUUUUUGUCCUCUAUUACAAUUCCAGAUGCCAAGAACAAGGCAAGAACUCAUGUCAGAAUCUAACUAGUAAUGGAUACUCUCGGGACUCAUCAAGAUAAAAAAUAAAAAAGAACCUACCUCGUGCUAUGGCAUCCUCUUUCCUUCUCAAUUCCUGCAAAAUAUAAAGUUAACAUUCAGUUACUACAAGGAAAAAUUAAUCUAAGAGCAAAAUGAAUAGCAAAACCACCUUACAUACAACAUAAUUACAUAUUGCAUCCGAACAUAUAAGAAUCAAGUCAUUGCAUAAUUUUAGUAUUUUCAUAAUAGAAAGACUACAGAACAUAAAGAUAUUUUACAAGAAUUCAAACAGAAAAACUAAACUGAAAUAUGAAUAGGAAAUUCAGAUUCAAAAACUAUAGUUUUGAUUUUUUUGCGCCAAGAUAGCAAUAUUUAAAUUACUUCAGAAAUUUGUAUAAUUUGUAACUGCAAUGCGAAAGGAACAACUUAUCACAAUUGAUAUCGAAUACCGCAAAAAUAAAUCGGAAGCACCACACUUAUUAUUCAAGGGCCAGCCUCACUCGAGUGUAAACAGCGAACAACAAAUUAACCAUUCACGCUUAUUCAGUUUAGCCUCUUUUGCUUUAAGUUCCUUCUCUCUUGCUUUUAAAUCCUAGAUUUGAUAAGACAAAAACAUCAAAAGAAGUCUAUGAUUUUAAUCAUAUAUAUUUUAAUCAUUUUGUGACCAAAGAAUUGAUGUUGGAUAGAAAAUAUGAUUGAAAACUUAUUUUGUGCAAGUACAACACUAGGAUUCCAACUUUGUCCUCCUUGGCAAUCAAUAAAGCAAGGCCAGUACAACGGUUAUAUACCUCAAACUUGGGCCAGUACGAAAUAUCAUAUGAUGAGUACAACGUGAAACAAGUUCCCACAUAUCUAAAGCUGGUAGCUCCACUAAAUCUUGGCUAAUCUCAAACCGAAAGACUUAAUCUGUAACUUUUUUUUAAUAAGUGAAACAAAAAUAUUGAUGAGACUCGAAUUUCGACAUUAAAUUUGUAACAUUUUAUUUAUGUUUAUAUCUAGGAAUUUCAAGCUCCUAAAGAGUGAUGAUUUCAUGUAAAAUGGUGAAUGCUAUAACAAUCUCGUACAGUCUCAAGCUUUGUGAGGUUAGUCCUGACUCUUAAAGAUAAGAACAGUAAAUAAAGAUUUGGAAAUGAUAAGAACAGUAAAUAAAGAUUUGGAAAUGAUAAAUUCUGUAAUAUAAAAUGUAAUGCAGAGGGGCGAAAUCACCUUUUCCUCUUUGCUUUGGUUCCACACCUGCAGAGAUAAUAUAUAUAUUUUAAAAAAAAACCCCAACAAGAAUACAAUUACAUGAGAAUACAAAAAUGAACCUGAAAUGGAAGAAAGAAUAAGAGGCACCAACGAAAAAUAAUAUAUAUUUUUUACUUUGUUCUUUACUAUUUUUAUAACAAAAAUUAUUCAUAUUAGUAAAAAUCAGAUCACCCUUACAUAAAAAAACUGAAGGGGAUUCAAACAGUUAAAUCAUAUACCAUAGUGUAUUUGAUUUUCCAAUAACCCAAAUGGGAAAAAAAGAAAAAAAGGAAAAAAAAAUCAAAAUCUUGUAUUUGGGUAUAAAGGUUAAAGCUUUAAUUGAUAUAUGUUGCAGAGAGAUAGAGAUUUAAAAUAAAAAAACACAUAAAAAUCAAUGAAGGAAGGAAAUUUGAAAUGGGUUAAGAUGAAGGGAAAAAAAUGAUUUUAGGGGGAACAAUUAGGGGUUUAACGGGGAAAACUUUUGGGGAUAAAAU